AAGUCGUAACAAGGUCUCCGUUGGUGAACCAGCGGAGGGAUCAUUACCGAGUUUACAACUCCCAAACCCCUGUGAACAUACCUAUUUGUUGCCUCGGCGGUGCCUGUUCCGACAGCCCGCCAGAGGACCCCAAACCCUGAUUACAUUUAAGAAGUCUUCUGAGUAAACCGAUUAAAUAAAUCAAAACUUUCAACAACGGAUCUCUUGGUUCUGGCAUCGAUGAARAACGCAGCGAAAUGCGAUAAGUAAUGUGAAUUGCAGAAUUCAGUGAAUCAUCGAAUCUUUGAACGCACAUUGCGCCCGCUAGUAUUCUGGCGGGCAUGCCUGUCCGAGCGUCAUUUCAACCCUCAAGCCCCCGGGCUUGGUGUUGGGGAUCGGCGAGCCUCCGCGCCCGCCGUCCCCUAAAUCUARUGGCGGUCUCGCUGUAKCUUCCUCUGCGUAGUAGCACACCUCGCACUGGGAAACAGCGCGGCCACGCCGUUAAACCCCCAACUUCUGAACGUUUGACCUCGGAUCAGGUAGGAAUACCCGCUGAACUUAA
rnacentral:misc_RNA from 1 species